UAUUGGGAACAGAAUUAAUAUUAGAUGCAUGUAAAUCUGGAACCGUGUCUGUGUUUAAGUGCUUAAUUAUUGUUUCUGAAAGGCCCACUGAUGGAGCUGGUAAUGUUAUAAGAAAGAUUUGCAGCAGUAGUACAUUCUUAGACCCUGGACAUGAACAAGGAGAGGCUGAAUGUCCACUUGCCAAGAAUGCUGUAGAAGAAAUUUCCG